CUCAAAGGUACAUAUAAGUCUCCUUCAGGAAGUGAUGUUGUGUAAAUGGUAGUCUUUGUGGUGUCAAUGGUCUUACUCGUGUUUUGCUAUAUUUGUCUCCGAAGGUCAUGAAAAUUUGUGAGUAUGGAGAGUGAAACAUCUGUAUAUACUCUUUGAGUCUUGACAUUGUUUUGUCUAGUGUGCUGACUUCCUAAUGCAUUUUUCUGUUAUUCAGUAGCAGCUGUUGUGAAUGGACAGUUCCACUUUCAGAUUGUUCUUGACAAAUUUUGCAACAGCAAAAACUGGAAAAAAGGAAAUCUGAUACUUCUCAUGAACUUUCCAGGGCCGAGGUUGGAGGCUUGUAAAGCAUCCUUCCAUAGGGUCAUGUAGAUGGAGGAGUCUGCCACAUGGUUUGCAGUGCGAUAAAUGUGGUGACAUUUCCAUCGAACUUCCAUUGGUCAAGCAGGGUCAGAAUUGCGGUUCCAAACUAAUGACGGUUGCUGGAUAAAAAAGGUCAAAUUGGAUUGGUUUAUGAUCCAAAGACAAAAAGGUGAUCUGUCUGUUUGCGUGAUUUUUCACAAAACUGGCAUGCUCCCUCUUUGGUAAGUGCUACUGGAACUUUUUUUUAAAAUCCUUGUUUUGAGGAUGAAGACUUUGAGAGAUGAUGGUGACAAGGUAAACUAAAAUAUAUUUUUUAUUACUGUUCCUUUCACUUAAUGAGGCAACCAACAGUCUUAGCUGUUUUAUGCACAUUAUGGUAAACAGUGCUCAAAUUAUCAGUAAGUUAAAAUGCAAUUGAUACCCACCCUUCAAAAGUAACAGUUAUUGAGGUCGGCAGUUAUGGGUUGCUUGCAUAGAGUUUACAGAUUCAUUCUAUUGAAGUUAAGAAGUCAUUAUUUCAAGACACGUUACAGUAUGCAGAUUGUUUAAGUUAAAAAUCAUAUAGAAAUGGUAAAAUGUGGAGUAGAGCUAGAAGCUAUUACCUUAACCAGCAGAAUUGUGCUAUACUAUCAUUAGGGCCAUAUAUGAGUGUUUGCCUAAGAAAUCAUGCAUUCACGCAUAGGAUAAGGUGCUGUUCCGUGAAUGGUUAUCAUUACUUGGAAUAGUAAUAUCCCAUGUAUGCUUGAAAUCUAUUUGAAGAUCUAUCUUAGGGAACAUUUACAAUUACUUAGCAUUCCAUGAUAUGCUUGUUCUGUGUCAGUAACAGGUUUUGUGUUCAACACUUGGUGGUUUUAAACUGUCUAAAAUUGUUUUUAUACUCCAUGCAUAAAUGGAGUAUUAUUAGAUUACUGGGAAAAAUGCAUUGCAGGGUACAACUCAAUAAUUGUAAUUAUAAAUUGAUGCAUAUUCUCUUAUGUCAGAUCAUUGCUUCCAUGAUCAAGGGGUCCAUUUCAGACAGAUUCUCUGUAAGGAUAUUGUGUUAUGAUGCAGUGCCAAUUUGUUUACAAGAUUUUAAUCCAUUACAUGGUUAUUGCAAAGGGAAAUCCUGAACAAUUUUCUGCUUUGAUAAGCUUUCAACGUGCAAUGUUGCCUGCACUUCUGUAAAGGGAUAUUAUCAUGUAAAGGAAAGUGGUUUAGGCGAAGGGUGUGAAAAUCAAACAUACAAGUCCCAAAAGUGGGCUAUUUGGUGUUGAUCUGCAUGGUCAUACAUAUUUGUUUCAUUGCGCAUGCUCAUACAACCAUAUUGUGUUUAAUCUUUUUUGGAGAAAUUGUUUUUUCCCAAUGCAAUUUUUUAUCUGGUAUGCUGGUAUUUGUGGAAGUAGGGGAGGUUUUGAUUCUGCAGGGGUAACUGAUUUGUUAAUGGCACUGACAAUCAAUAUACUCUAUCAUUUUAUUAGUAGUUCCUUUAAAAGCUUAUACAAAUGUGGGCUCCGGGUUUGCAAUUGAUUUCUGUGCACACAAGAUUACAUUUUGUUGCCUUAUUGCAUUAUUAAGGAAAACUAGCAGGUAGGUCUGUAUAGUGUUACGGCUGUUGAGAAUACAUACUUGUAGCAUUAUUAAGGAAAAGCUUAUCUGUUCUAGUGUUUUGUUGGGAUGUUUCUAAUCCAGACAUUGUAGUUCAUGAAAGAUUUGCUGGAGAAUUCUUAGCAACCUUACUUUUGUGCUCAAGGCCUUUGAAGCUGCUGUACUCGAAGCCCACCUAGUCCUUCAAUUUCUAUUGGUGAUGUAACAGAUAAUAUAUAUACUUGGAUGGUGUAUUGCUGACAUUUGCCUUUUUUCAGAAGUGACAUGGUAAAUUAUUAAACAAAAAGAAGUGACAUUGCAGGCCCACCUGGUGGUUCUGAUGUAGCCAGAAGUAAGUUAGUCAAUGUUACAAGUACAAGAGAAGAAUUUCUACGUGGCCCACCUUUUAUCUCAUUAUUAUAUCCCAUUGAAAGUUUGAAA